GAAUCUUCCGCAAUGGACGAAAGUCUGAUGCAGCAACGCCGCGUGAGCGAUGAAGGUCUUCGGAUCGUAAAGCUCUGUCCUCAAGGAAGAAUUUUGACGGUACUUGAGGAGGAAGCCCCGGCUAACUACGUGCCAGCCGCCGCGGUAAUACGUAGGGGGCUAGCGUUAUCCGGAAUUAUUGGGCGUAAAGGGUGCGUAGGCGGUCCUACAAGUCAGAGGUGAAAGGCUACGGCUCAACCGUAGUAAGCCUGUGAAACUGUAGGACUUGAGUGCAGGAGAGGAGAGUGGAAUUCCCAGUGUAGCGGUGAAAUGCGUAGAUAUUGGGAGGAACACCAGUUGCGAAGGCGGCUCUCUGGACUGUAACUGACGCUGAGGCACGAAAGCGUGGGGAGCGAACA
rnacentral:rRNA from 1 species